rnacentral:rRNA from 1 species
CCUACGGGUGGCAGCAGUGGGGAAUAUUGCUCAAUGGGGGAAACCCUGAUGCAGCGACGCCGCGUGAGGGAUGAAGGUAUUCGUAAUGUAAACCCCUUUUGUUAGAGAAGAUAAUGACGGUACCUGACCAAUAAGCCCCGGCUAACUACGUGCCAGCAGCCGCGGUAAUACGGAGGGUGCAAGCGUUAUCCGGAUUUACUGGGCGUAAAGGGAGCGUAGGCGGGUGAGCAAGUCUGAUGUGAAAUGCUAUGGCCUAACCAUAGGACUGCAUUUGAAACUGUUCAUCUAGAGUAUGGGAGAGGUAGGUGGAAUUCUUGGUGUAGCGGUGAAAUGCGUAGAGAUCAAGAGGAACACUCAUGGCGAAGGCGACCUACUGGAACAUAACUGACGUUGAGGCGCGAAAGCGUGGGGAGCAAACAGGAUUAGAUACCCGGGUAGUC